AUGCUAUUAAUGAGCCAAACGCUGUUAUUUUUACAUCGUGUAAAAGCUGUCUCUCCAUUGUCUGAUUUUAGUUUUCUGGGAUUCCCUACAGAGUACAACAUAGAUCUCAGCUUUUUCAUGAGGGUUGCCCUAGAUCUGCCAGCAUUAGUCCUGACUGACAGUGGGAGCAGAGGCAUUAAGGCACACACCUCUGGAAGAGGGUCUCCUCCCUUGCCGGCUACCAGCAUCAGCCCAUGCCACCUCCUUUCUUUCCCGCUCAGGCAUUUGGCACCAUCCAUGUGCUUGUCAGCUGCAGAGCUGUGGGGCUCUCAAUAUGAAACUUGCUCUAUGGGAUAAUUCUCUAUGCUGUGACAAGAGCCUAGCUGUGGUGACAGUUAUGCAGGUGUGAACUUAUCUCCUCUCUCCCACAUUAAUAGAUCAUCCAUCUACAACAUGAAGCCAAAAUCCAUAAGCUUCCCCUUUGCCUAUCCCAUUUGGCCAGCCCCAUGUGCAAUGAGUGCUGUGCUGGUGUUCCCCUGGGAAGCUGUGGGAUCUGAUUUGUGCAGGAAUACAGCUGCAUUUGAGGGGAAGUGGCAGAAUCUGGCCCGCAGAGGCUGACAUAUGGUGAGGCAAUAUAUGUUUCCUAGCAUGUGGACCCAAAAAUUAUUCCUACAAGGUGCAGAGUCACAUUGAUUGUAUUACUGGAUUAUCAAAUGAUUAAAGCCAUUAACAAUCCACUCUUGAGCAAUCAACAUAACAAUGUUUAGUUGCCUUGCAGUAACAAUUAAAAGAUGAAGCAAUUUGCAGUAAUUAGGUAGUAUCUGGAAAAAGUAGUCCUCAUUAAGAGAAGUUAAAAGGACUUUUUAGUGUGGUUGAGAUGAACCUAGCAGGCCAAUUUCUUCCCUCCUUUCCCUCUCUCCACCCCCCCUGAAUUUAAAGAAAACAAUCUGUUCUUGUUUAGCCUUACAUUUGGGAAGAGAUCAAAGGGGAUGUAACACAGGGUUGGCUUGCUGUGCAGGCAGGGGGCAUCUUAGGACCGCAGUGCCGGGGCCGGGAGCUGCUUUUUGUGGGGUGGGCUGUCCCAAACCAUUGGGCUGUUUGGUGCCCGGUGGGAUUUCAGACAUAGCACCAAAGUCCCAGCAGCAUUUCCAACAGCACGUUUUCUCAGCAGUGAGCAUUCAUUCAGGCACGUUCGAGCUACCGACGGUUAGAGGCAGUAGCUCACCUCCUGCAGUGAUCUCUGUGCUGGUGACCGCUGGUAUUUGCUUUAAAGAAAAGCUUAUCUAUGCACAUAUAUUAUUAAUGGGCAUUGCUGUGUGUGGAUGCCUCAGAAGAUGCUCCGUUUCCUCAUGCAGAA
rnacentral:lncRNA from 1 species